AUGCCGCGUGUGUGAAGAAGGCCUUCGGGUUGUAAAGCACUUUCAGCGAGGAAGAACGCCUUGGGAUUAAUACUCCCGAGGAAAGACAUCACUCGCAGAAGAAGCACCGGCUAACUCCGUGCCAGCAGCCGCGGUAAUACGGAGGGUGCAAGCGUUAAUCGGAAUUACUGGGCGUAAAGCGCGCGUAGGUGGCUAAGUCAGCCAGGUGUGAAAGCCCCGGGCUCAACCUGGGAACGGCAUCUGGAACUGCUUGGCUAGAGUGCAGGAGAGGAAGGUAGAAUUCCCGGUGUAGCGGUGAAAUGCGUAGAGAUCGGGAGGAAUACCAGUGGCGAAGGCGGCCUUCUGGACUGACACUGACACUGAGGUGCGAAAGCGUGGGUAGCAAACAGGAUUAGAUACCCUGGUAGUCCACGCCGUAAACGAUGUCAACUAGCCGUUGGGUCCCUUGAGGACUUAGUGGCGCAGCUAACGCAAUAAGUUGACCGCCUGGGGAGUAC
rnacentral:rRNA from 1 species